rnacentral:tRNA from 1 species
GCUAGAGUGGCAUCGUGGUCUGAGUGUUGGACUAUGGCUCUGGAGACCAGGGUUCAAAUCCCUGCUUGGCCA